AGCUCCCAGAGGCUGUUUUUCUCCUCUCACUUCCGCUGAAAUGAAUUAAUUCCGGCUUAGGGAUGGGAACAUAUAAGUUCGCAAUAAUGGCUUAUUUAACUGAACUGCACCAAUCUCUCAAUUAUCACUUUUAUUUAUGCUUAACAGCUUUACUGAGGUACAAUGACACACAACGAGUUGAGUAUACUUAAAGAGUAAACUUCAGUUUGGGCACACAUGUACACCUGUGGAACCAUCACCAUAAACCAGCUUAUGAACACAUCCUCCAGCCCCCAAAGUUUCCUCAUACACCGUUAUAAUCUCUCACUCCCGCCCCUCCCACACAACCUCCAUCCCAAGGCAACCACUGUUUCACGUUCUGUCGCUACAGACUAGUUAGCAUUUUCUAGAAUUUUGCAUGAAUGGAAUGACAUAGUAUGCAUUCUUUUUUGUCUGGCUUUUUUUACGCAGCAUACUUAUUUUGCGAUUCAUCCAUUCAUUGCUUUUUACUGCUAAAUAGUAUCCCAUUGUAUGGAUAUACCACCACUUGUUUAUCCCUUCUGCCUUGAUGGACAAUCGGGACGUUUCCAGCUUGAGGCUGUGACAAGCGAGGCUGCUAUGAAGGUUCAUGCACAAGACUUUGCGUGGACAAAUGCUCUCAUUUAUCUUGGGUAAAUACCUGGGGGUGGAAUGGCUGGAUCACAUGGGCCCUAUGCUAGGGUAUAAGAGGGAUGUAGAGAUUAACAAGACAUGGUCCUGUUCUCAAGAAAUCUGCAGUCUAGUUGGGAAGGCAGGACAGAACAACUCUUUGGGUGUAGGGACAAAGGAGCUGUUGGAGAUGACACGUUAUUCACCACUUUUACUUCAGAGCACAGGAAAAUCAACCAUGCUGAAAGAGCUCAGGCUACAAACAAAUAAGGUCUCCUUUAGUACGGAAUAUACGUUCUCCUCAGAAAUGACCUCAUCCUUUCAUACAGUUUUUGACCCCUACAAAUAUCUCUGGAAAAAAUACCAAGUGUGGGUAAAAGUUAGAGGCACUCAUCUUGACUUCCUUUUUCAACCUGUGUCCUACCUUCCUGUAGCACCUGUAAUGAAGAGGUGGCUUAAUGCAGCAUGUGAGAGCAAAGACUUCGGAACAAAGCAGAAUCAUGUUCACGUCUGA